AAAAAAAUAUGUUAUCACCAAGAGAUGUGUGUGGCUCAGCCAUGUCUAAGAUGGCGAAAAGAUGUACAUAACAAAAGUAGGAAUGGACAAAGGUCGAAUUUGGCUCGGGUUGACCCUCAGGUAGAAACCUGAAAAGAUGAAAAAAUAUUGAAAAGAAGAUGGAUGUUUCCAAGAAAUUAUUGUUGAUGAAAAUAGCUUCUCCAUCUGCCAAGAUAAAAUUCAGCUAACUUUGCAUCAAUCAUUUUGAAAUUGGAAUCUCAAAAUUAAAAUUUUGAUUUGUUAAAAGGUUGAUUUGAGAUGAGUACUAGUUUGCACUCAUCAUUCUGAAAUUUUAUUUCCAAAACUUUGUGAAAUAUGAAAUGGAAGUGUUGUGCUUAUCUUAAUUACGUAGUUAAUGAAAUUGAUUGUAAAAUAAGUAUUGGAAAAAUAAAAAGAAAAAAAUAAUAUAAACAAAAAAUGAGAAUCCACUUUUAAAUUACACACCUUAAGCAAAGGAGCAUUCAUUCCAUCUCAAUUUCAUCUCAGUUUCAUCUCAAUUACACACCUUAACCAAAAAUGUAGUUUCAUCUCAGUUCUCAUUUCAUCUCAAUUAUCAUCGACUGUUUCACUUAUGAAUAUGCAAGUUUUUAUGUUUACAGAUCAUAUUAGUUUACUUCAAAUCCAAUAUGUUCAGUUCUUGAAUGAUUUUUUAUUUAUUUCUGCUCGAUAUAUGCUUAUGUUCAAAAGAAAAAAUUCAUUUAAAAGAAUAAAAACAAUAUAUUUGAAUAAUUUGAUUAGAUAAUUGUGAUGGGAUUGUAGAGACCAAACAGUUUGAAGUAGAAAGACAUAGUGAUGUUUAAUAAGUAUGAG
rnacentral:lncRNA from 1 species